UACGUAGGGUGCAAGCGUUGUCCGGAAUUAUUGGGCGUAAAGAGCUCGUAGGCGGUUUGUCGCGUCUGCUGUGAAAUCCCGGGGCUCAACCCCGGGCCUGCAGUGGAUACGGGCUGGCUAGAGGCAGGCAGGGGAGAACGGAAUUCCUGGUGUAGCGGUGAAAUGCGCAGAUAUCAGGAGGAACACCGGUGGCGAAGGCGGUUCUCUGGGCCUGUACUGACGCUGAGGAGCGAAAGCGUGGGGAGCAAACAGG
rnacentral:rRNA from 1 species